rnacentral:rRNA from 1 species
GACGAACGCUGGCGGCGUGCCUAAUACAUGCAAGUAGAACGCUGAAGGAGGAGCUUGCUUCUCUGGAUGAGUUGCGAACGGGUGAGUAACGCGUAGGUAACCUGCCUGGUAGCGGGGGAUAACUAUUGGAAACGAUAGCUAAUACCGCAUAAGAGUAGAUGUUGCAUGACAUUUGCUUAAAAGGUGCAAUUGCAUCACUACCAGAUGGACCUGCGUUGUAUUAGCUAGUUGGUGGGGUAACGGCUCACCAAGGCGACGAUACAUAGCCGACCUGAGAGGGUGAUCGGCCACACUGGGACUGAGACACGGCCCAGACUCCUACGGGAGGCAGCAGUAGGGAAUCUUCGGCAAUGGACGGAAGUCUGGCCGAGCAACGCCGCGUGAGUGAAGAAGGGUUUCGGAUCGUAAAGCUCUGUUGUAAGAGAAGAACGAGUGUGAGAGUGGAAAGUUCACACUGUGACGGUAUCUUACCAGAAAGGGACGGCUAACUACGUG